GACGAACGCUGGCGGCGUGCUUAACACAUGCAAGUCGAACGGAAAGGCCCUGCUUUUGUGGGGUGCUCGAGUGGCGAACGGGUGAGUAACACGUGAGUAACCUGCCCUUGACUUUGGGAUAACUUCAGGAAACUGGGGCUAAUACCGGAUAGGAGCUCCUGCUGCAUGGUGGGGGUUGGAAAGUUUCGGCGGUUGGGGAUGGACUCGCGGCUUAUGAGCUUGUUGGUGGGGUAGUGGCUUACCAAGGCUUUGACGGGUAGCCGGCCUGAGAGGGUGACCGGCCACAUUGGGACUGAGAUACGGCGCAGACUGCUACGGGAGGCAGCAGUGGGGAAUAUUGCACAGUGGGCGGACGCCUGAUGCAGCAACGCCGCGUGCGGGAUGACGGCCUUCGGGUUGUGAACCGCUUUCGCCUGUGACGAAGCGGGAGUGACGGUAAUGGGUAAAGAAGCACCGGCUAACUACGUG
rnacentral:rRNA from 1 species